rnacentral:rRNA from 1 species
CCCUUAGAUGUCCUGGGCCGCACGCGCGUUACACUGAUGCAUUCAACGAGCUUAUAACCUUGGCCGAGAGGCCUGGACAAUCUUGUUAACGUGCAUCGUGAUAGGGAUAGAUUAUUGAAAUUAUUAAUCUUGAACGAGGAAUUCCUAGUAAACGCAGAUCAUCAAUCUGCAUUGAUUACGUCCCUGCCCUUUGUACACACCGCCCGUCGCACCUACCGAUUGGAUGGUCCGGUGAAGCCUCGGGAUUGUGGUUCUUGCCGCUUUAUUGUGGCGUGACCGCGAGAACUUGUCUAAACCUUAUCAUCUAGAGGAAGGUGAAGUCGUAACA